AGAGUUUGAUCAUGGCUCAGGAUGAACGCUGGCGGCGUGCUUAACACAUGCAAGUCGAACGAAGCACUUUAUUUGAUUUCUUCGGAAUGAAGAUUUAGUGACUGAGUGGCGGACGGGUGAGUAACGCGUGGGCAACCUGCCUCAUACAGGGGGAUAACAGUUGGAAACGACUGCUAAUACCGCAUAAGCGCACAGUACCGCAUGGUACGGUGUGAAAAACUCCGGUGGUAUGAGAUGGGCCCGCGUCUGAUUAGCCAGUUGGCGGGGUAACGGCCCACCAAAGCGACGAUCAGUAGCCGACCUGAGAGGGUGACCGGCCACAUUGGGACUGAGACACGGCCCAAACUCCUACGGGAGGCAGCAGUGGGGAAUAUUGCACAAUGGGGGAAACCCUGAUGCAGCGACGCCGCGUGAGCGAAGAAGUAUUUCGGUAUGUAAAGCUCUAUCAGCAGGGAAGAAGAAUGACGGUACCUGACUAAGAAGCACCGGCUAAAUACGUGCCAGCAGCCGCGGUAAUACGUAUGGUGCAAGCGUUAUCCGGAUUUACUGGGUGUAAAGGGAGCGCAGGCGGAAGGCUAAGUCUGAUGUGAAAGCCCGGGGCUCAACCCCGGUACUGCAUUGGAAACUGGUCAUCUAGAGUGUCGGAGGGGUAAGUGGAAUUCCUAGUGUAGCGGUGAAAUGCGUAGAUAUUAGGAGGAACACCAGUGGCGAAGGCGGCUUACUGGACGAUUACUGACGCUGAGGCUCGAAAGCGUGGGGAGCAAACAGGAUUAGAUACCCUGGUAGUCCACGCCGUAAAC
rnacentral:rRNA from 1 species